rnacentral:rRNA from 1 species
ACCGCAAGGGGGCAGCCUUCCAAGGUGUAAUUCAUGAUUGGGGUGAAGUCGUAACAAGGUAGCCGUAGGAGAACCUGCGGCUGGAUCACCUCCUUU